UGAGAUCUGAGCCUCCAGCUAAUUAGCCAGUUAGCUCAUUUCCUGUAACCAGUGAAAGCAUGUUGGGUGGAAUUAGCAAGUAAGCUAACUAACCAUCCAUCAAGCUAUGAGACAAGCUACCAAACAAGCUAGGUGACGUUAUAUUCGCAUGCAUGGAGGGUUCAUGGAAAACCCAUCGUUUUUUUUUGUAAAGAAUACUUUAUAAUGAAUUAAAAUAACACAGUAUAUUCUGUAUUAGACAAAAUAAUUACUUCAUCCGAUGUUUAAAGU